rnacentral:rRNA from 1 species
ACUCAAAUGAAUUGACGGGGACCCGCACAAGCGGUGGAACAUGUGGUUUAAUUCGACGGUAAGCGAGGAACCUCACCAGGGCUUGACAUGUAGCUGCAAAUCCCGUGAAAGCGGGACUUCUUCGAGAGUGCUACACAGGUGCUGCAUGGUUGUCGUCAGCUCGUGCCGUGAGGUGUACCCUUAAGUGGGGUAACGAGCGCAACCCCUAUGCUGUGUUGUUGUUUCACAGCAGACUGCCUCGGAUAACGGGGAGGAAGGUGGGGAUGACGUCAAAUCAGCAUGGCUCUUACGCCCUGGGCGACACACGUGUUACAAUGGUUAGUACAAAGGGCAGCCAAACCGCAAGGUGGAGCUAAUCCCAUCAAAACUAAUCUCAGUUCGGAUCGGAGUCUGCAACUCGACUCCGUGAAGCUGGAAUCGCUAGUAAACGGAUAUCAGCCACGGUCCGUUGAAUACGUUCUCGGGUCUUGUACACACCGCCCGU